rnacentral:rRNA from 1 species
AGAUUGAACGCUGGCGGCAUGCCUUACACAUGCAAGUCGAACGGUAGAGUAGCAAUACUCGAGAGUGGCGAACGGGUGAGUAAUAUAUCGGAACGUGCCCAGUCGUGGGGGAUAACGUAGAGAAAUUUACGCUAAUACCGCAUACGAUCUACGGAUAGAAGGCGGGGGAUCGCAAGACCUCGCGCGAUUGGAGCGGCUGAUAUCAGUAUUAGGUUGUUGGUAGAAGGUAAACGCCUACAACGACGACCGA